AGGAGCUUCCGCUUUCUUUCAGGUCUACGGCCAUGCCCGAAGCCUCCAGUGUUCCCUCGCCGCAGUUGACCGGAUGUGGUUUCCACUUCCGAGCUGUCCGCCGCACUUCAGGCCAAACCCCAGGAAGGGAUGGCCAGGAGACACUGAAAUUUGUUUAUGUGUCUAGACUGGAUGCCUCGUGGUCAUCAUGGAGCCACUGAUGUCACUGUCAUCAUUAUCACUGUCAUUACCAUGGCCCUCUUCCUCAUGGAUCAAUAACUACGUGAGAGUACUUGAGUGAUGACGGAAUAUCAUUUAUCGUCUCAGGAUUAGAUGUUGGAGAUGAGCUGCUUCAAGUUCCUGCCACCUUGAUGGACUGUAACCUAGAACUAGCAGUGGAUAAGUAAAGCAACGAAAUCCAGUCUGUCAGCUAAGCAGAGGAAUUGGAAUUUGUCAUGGAAGGGCAUCUCUAGACUUUUGACGGUUCCAGUGAAAGCAACAUAUUACAUCACAUCUCACGACUGUGCAAGAGGGCCAGGCAUGACAGCUCCAUCCAUGAUAGGAAGCUUUUAGUCACCAAGGUCCCCUGAGGAGAAAAAGGCCACCCAGUUUGGAUUAUGUACAGAGGUUUGCCAAAGGAGUCGCAACCUACAGGUUGAGAACUGAUCCUUUAAGGUAAACAGAGCCGUGUGUGACAGUUUAAUCUACAAGCUCGAUGCAGGGCUGUUGCCUGGGACAGAGGAAGCUUGGUGGCAAUUAGUAUUGUGUGGGAGCCUGUCUGGAGGCUGCACCUGUGUGGGAACAUGGGCUCGUUCCUUCUGGAUCAAAGACUCAGACCCUCCAGGCAGAGGUGAAACAUUUCAUUCUUACUGAGUCGGUUUGAAAAGUUUCUGAUGUGCUAAAAUGUGAAGAGUUUCCUCCUGACCCCAGAAAGCCAAAAUGGCUCCAAAGGGCUUAUGUAUGACUUCUCACAGCUUUACGGUGACCUCGAGAGGGUUACAAUGUCCAGUUACUCUCACAGCUGGAGCUGUCUGUUGCUUAUAUGCUGGCCUGACUCAUGGCAGGGCAGGCUUUCCCUUUCUUGCUGAGUUGAUUAUUGCUUUUUCAAUAAGAGAAUCUGGAGAGAGAUGUCUGAGUCUCUAUUCUCUAUAAGCAAUAACUACUAGGUACUUUCCAGCUUAUAGGACACCAUAGGACAUGUAACAAAAAUGAUGAAUAUGUCCCAAACCAAACAAAAACUACCAAACAUUUAAGAUAGUCACAUAGUCCUUUCCAAGUAUUUGUGGAAAAAAAAAUGACUUUUGCAUAAGAUAGAUCUAAACUUAGAGGGGAUGAGAAGAUGGUGCAGAGGUCAAGGGAGCAUCCUGCUCUUGUAGUGGAAGCAAUUC